UUCCAGGCCCUUUACGGGGCGCAGCAGGCGCGAAACCUCUGCAAUARGCGAAAGCUUGACAGGGUUAUUCUGAGUGAUUUCCGCUAAGGAAAUCUUUUGGCACCUCUAAAAAUGGUGCAGAAUAAGGGGUGGGCAAGCCUGGUGUCAGCCGCCGCGGUAAUACCAGCACCCCGAGUGGUCGGGACGAUUAUUGGGCCUAAAGCAUCCGUAGCCGGUUCUACAAGUCUUCCGUUAAAUCCACCUGCUUAACAGAUGGGCUGCGGAGGAUACUAUGGAGCUAGGAGGCGGGAGAGGCAAGCGGUACUYAGUGGGUAGGGGUAAAAUCCGUUGAUCCAUUGAAGACCACCAGUGGCGAAGGCGGCUUGCCAGAACGCGCUCGACGGUGAGGGAUGAAAGCUGGGGGAGCAAACCGGAUUAGAUACCCGGGUAGUCCCAGCUGUAAACGAUGCAGACUCGGUGAUGAAUAGGCUUCGUGCCUAUUCAGUGCCGCAGGGAAGCCGUUAAGUCUGCCGCCUGGGGAGUACGGUCGCAAGACUGAAACUUAAAGGAAUUGGCGGGGGAG
rnacentral:rRNA from 1 species